rnacentral:rRNA from 1 species
UACGUAGGGUGCAAGCGUUACUCGGAAUUACUGGGCGUAAAGGGUGCGUAGGUGGCGCUGUAAGUCGGGUGUGAAAUUUCGGAGCUUAACUCCGAAACUGCAUUCGAUACUGCGGUGCUUGAGGACUGGAGAGGAGACUGGAAUUCAUGGUGUAGCAGUGAAAUGCGUAGAGAUCAUGAGGAAGACCAGUGGCGAAGGCGGGUCUCUGGACAGUUCCUGACACUGAGGCACGAAGGCCAGGGGAGCAAACGGG